ACGUCUUCUUUUAUUCGCGCGAUUUCUACUGCAUCGCCGAGGGAAGGGAUAAGGUCCCGAACGCCGUGGCCAGCAUCCUCUCCUCUCCCUUUUCCCCUCGCUCACUUCCUCCUCCCUCACCGGCAGAACCCUAGCCGCCUUCUCCUGCAGCACCUCAGCCGCCUCCUCUCCCUCCCGCCUCCUCUCCCUCUCCACCCAGCCGCCCCCUCCCUGACAGCCUCCACCUCUCCCUCUCGCCCAGAGCAGGGCGGCCGGCGCGCCCCGCCCGAGCACCUCCCCGGGAAGCAGCCUGCCGGGAAGCAGCAGGUUCUCGUGGUGCGGUGGUGUUGCUGGGAAGGAGGAGGAGGUCAACCGCGUCCCUGGGGUGCCGGUGGAGCUGCUCCUCCGUGAGAUCCGGCCGCGGAGAGAGCCAUGGUUAGGCGAGGCUGCUGGUGGGGCGAAGAAGCAGGGGAGGCAGGCAACAAGGACGGGAAGCAGCGGGAUGUCGUGGUGCGGUGGUGCUGCUGGGAAGAAGGAGGAGGUCAGCCGCGUCCCUGGUCUGCCGGCGGAGCUGCUUCUCCGCGAGAUUUGGCCACGGAAAGAGCCAUGCACAACCAGCUGGUGCAGAACAUCCGCCCAACCUCGCCGUAUUUGGGCCUCUCAAGCAGGUGGCACCCUCUUGGAACUGUUAUGCAUCCGCCCAUGAUAAAAAAUCUGGUCCAAAAUUAUGUGGUGUACAGUUUCUCAAAAACUUGUUUGAAUUUAUCUAAUUUUCAGAUGGCCAACCAUUAACUGUUAGAGAUGAGAAGUACCUAAUGUAAGACCAGAGGUGGGGUUCUGAUGGUUUUGCUGGAUGGCUGCAGCUAAUCGAGUGGUGUGAGACCCCUCUUGCGUCCCCAAGACAUUGGUCCAUGCUUCUUUUUUUGGAUGCGUGCCUCUAACAAGCAGAAUUCUUGUUUUUGCAGCUACGCACAGCAAGAUUUUACAUGAAUGAAUGGAACUUCAAGACCCUGUUGAACAUGCACUCAAUUUAGUCACAAAGAAAAAUAAGAACAAUUGUGUUGGGCAACCUCGCCCACAGGAGGAAAAGCUCACAGUUUGGAUGAGGAUCUGUAGUCCAAAGGUUGGUCAGGUCCUGAUGGAUUGAGAAGGUUCUAUGAUAUCGUGCUUUGUCCCAUCUCUGUUCUAUUCAUCAAGCUUUGCUCAUUUCAAAAGGAGAAUCCCUGCAGGGCAGCCACACAUGACCCCACUCCUCAGUUUAUUCGUUCAUGGCACAUCAGCUCUUUCACCCACUUGACCCAGCGAUAAAACAAAGGGUUCAGUUCACCCAGUCAUGCCCAAAGUAGCCUCACUCCGUUGUAUUCCCUUGCAGGACUUGAUCCGCUGUCACUCUCCGACUAAUUAUCAUUCAAGAUGGAGGUUUUACUUUCCAGCUUCACCAAUUUGUUAGAUUUGGUAACUGAGGUCACGAGUGCAAAAGUAAUACAGGCAUGCCAAACAAAUCUGAGCCAUUCAUGUCAACCUGCUCCUCAUUCAUUUCAUUCAAAAAAUUAAAUCAGAAAAAUUGUGGAUGUUAUUGUGGCAUCAAUACGGCUUCAUUCUGAUUGGUCCGGCGCGACAGAGGUCAAUCUUCAUCAUGAAUGCCUAUAUGCAUUUAUUAAUAUCUUUUAUUGUUUGUGUUUAGUGCAUAAAAACUGCAAUAGAUUCCCACCUCUUAUUAUGGAUGCACAAGUUCUUCACAAUGUUUCCAUUGCUGAUAUCUUUGCCCUGUCUGUCUUGGUUAAAUGUCAGUGCUUCACAAUGCACUUUUUACAUUGCACGAUCUAACAAUGCAUGCCAGACUUCUGAUAAUUGUACAAUAGUAUGCGGUGAUGCUAAUAAGACAUGCUGAAUGCAGAGUUUUAUUUCAUCUAUGUUAGUACCCAUGCGAAUAUUGAAUUAUUUUACUUAGAUGGUUUAACACAUGUCAUAAUAUAGGUGGUAGUUAGGAGAAGGCAUUAAUCUUUUUGUUUCUUUAGCAAAUAGUAGUAGUUCUCAUGUUACAGGGUGCGUGGACAAACUGAUGCAAGGGGCAUUGUUUCACACAACACCCACACCAAUGACCACUGGACGAGUGAAGCAAAGGGACUUGUGAACAACAUGAAAAACUUUCAGCCAUCUUUUGAUUACACGGAAAUAUGCCUUUGAUGCAUCUAUGUUAUUAUUUACUGAACGACUGUGUUUAGCAACUUCAGUGUGUAUAUCAAAAUUACUACUCCCUCCAUCCGAAAAAGCUUGUCCCUCAAAUGGAUGUAUGUAGCAUCAAGUUAGUGCUAGAUACAUCCAUUUGAGGAAUAAGCUUGAGACAUGCUUUUUCGGACUGAGGGAGUAUAUGAUGUAAUUGACCACUAUCACUAAGAAGUGCUUCUGGACACAAUGCUCUAUUUUAUCAUGUCUAUAGUGCAUUUUAUUGUGCCACCUGCAUAUAUAGCUACUUGAAUCUUCUAAUUGCAAACUCAAACAUUUGCAUUUUGUUCUUCGUUUCAGUUGGGCUUUUGCGUCAAUUUUAUCAAUUUCAUAGAUUACAAAUGAGAAAAAAUAUAUUUUUAUACAGAUCCACGACGCUUUGCAAAAGAGCAUACAUCAACAUCGUCUGCUACCAAAAAAAACAAAGUAAUCUCUUUUAGUUCUUGCUUCAAAUUUGUCUCGCGCGCCAAAUGGCGCGACAGGUCAUCUAGUCAGACCUAAAACACAACAUAGCAAGUACCCAUAUGCCAGUGUCAUAGACUCGCAUCCCAUUUAUUUUAGAUCUUAAAAACUAUUGUUCUUAUUUUCAUUGAAUCUAAUCAUCCCCUCGAAGUUUAUAUCUAUACUCCAUUUAUCAUCUUGCUAAUCCAAUUAGAAGGAUGAAUACUUGGUGAAGUAGGAUUCAGAAGGCACCUCUAAAGGAACUAUCUUUCUUUUCAGAUUCACCUAUCUUUAAUUUAGAAAUUUCACCUAUUCUCCUUACCUUUCACUGCCAUAUUCCAUGAUUAUAUCAGUUAUAACAUAAAAUAUAAAUUCUUAAUUAUAAAAAUAAAAAUAAAGGAUGAGCUAGUGCGCCCACCUAGUGGCAGUAGCCACGUCUCCUUUUAUUCGCGCAAUUUCUACUGCAUCGUCGAGGGAAGGGAUAAGGUCCCGAACGCUGUGGCCAGCAUCCUCUCCUCUCCCUUUUCCCCUCGCUCACUUCCUCCUCCCUCACCGGCAGAACCCUAGCCGCCUUCUCCUGCAGCACCUCAGCCGCCUCCUCUCCCUCCCGCCUCCUCUCCCUCUCCACCCAGCCGCCCCCUCCCUGACAGCCUCCACCUUCUCCCUCUCGCCCAGAGUAGGGCGGCCGGCGCGCCCCGCCCGAGCACCUCCCCGGGAAGCAGCCUGCCGGGAAGCAGCAGGUUCUCGUGGUGCGAUGGUGUUGCUGGGAAGGAGGAGGAGGUCAACCGCGUCCCUGGGGUGCCGGUGGAGCUGCUCCUCCGCGAGAUCCGGCCGCGGAGAGAGCCAUGGUGACCCAGCCCUUCUCCUCCCACCAAGCUCGCAUUGGUGCUCUUGUUGACUUCUUCCUCCUCCUCGGUGCUCAACAGGUUAGGCGAGGCUGCUGGUGGGGCGAAGAAGCAGGGGAGGCAGGCAACAAGGACGGGAAGCAGCGGGUUGUCGUGGUGCGGUGGUGCUGCUGGGAAGAAGGAGGAGGUCAGCCGCGUCCCUGGUCUGCCGGUGGAGCUGCUUCUCCGUGAGAUUUGGCCACGGAAAGAGCCAUGCACAACCAGCUGGUGCAGAACAUCCACCCAACCUCGCCGCAUUUGGGCCUCUCAAGCAGUUUCAGAUGGCCAACCAUUAACUGUUAGAGAUGAGAAGUACCUAAUGUAAGACCAGAGGUGGGGUUCUGAUGGUUUUGCUGGAUGGCUGCAGCUAAUCGAGUGGUGUGAGACCCCUCUUGCGUCCCCAAGACAUUGGUCCAUGCUUCUUUUUUUGGAUGCGUGCCUCUAACAAGCAGAAUUCUUGUUUUGCAGCUACGCACAGCAAGAUUUUACACGUAAGAUGUUUGCUUACAUUCCCACCUUCAGUGCCUUAUCAAGAUCUUUGAUAAGAUAGUAAUGACACUUUGUUCUGCAAUCAAGGAAUGAAUGGAACUUCAAGACCCUGUUGAACAUGCACUCAAUUUAGUCACAAAGAAAAAUAAGAACAAUUGUGUUGGGCAACCUCGCCCACAGGAGGAAAAGCUCACAGUUUGGAUGAGGAUCUGUAGUCCAAAGGUUGGUCAGGUCCUGAUGGAUUGAGAAGGUUCUAUGAUAUCGUGCUUUGUCCCAUCUCUGUUCUAUUCAUCAAGCUUUGCUCAUUUCAAAAGGAGAAUCCCUGCAGGGCAGCCACACAUGACCCCACUCCUCAGUUUAUUCUUUCAUGGCACAUCAGCUCUUUCACCCACUUGACCCAGCGAUAAAACAAAGGGUUCAGUUCACCCAGUCAUGCCCAAAGUAGCCUCACUCCAUUGUAUUCCCUUGCAGGACUUGAUCCGCUGUCACUCUCCGACUAAUUAUCAUUCAAGAUGGAGGUUUUACUUUCCAGCUUCACCAAUUUGUUAGAUUUGGUAACUGAGGUCACGAGUGCAAAAGUAAUACAGGCAUGCCAAACAAAUCUGAGCCAUUCAUGUCAACCUGCUCCUCAUUCAUUUCAUUCAAAAAAUUAAAUCAGAAAAAUUGUGGAUGUUAUUGUGGCAUCAAUACGGCUUCAUUCCGACUGGUCCGACGCGGCAGAGAUCCACGACGCUUUGCAAAAGAGCAUACAUCAACAUCGUCUGCUACCAAAAAAAAACAAAGUAAUCUCUUUUAGUUCUUGCUUCAAAUUUGUCUCGCGCGCCAAAUGGCGCGACAGGUCAUCUAGUCAGACCUAAAACACAACAUAGCAAGUACCCAUAUGCCAGUGUCAUAGACUCGCAUCCCGUUUAUUUUAGAUCUUAAAAACUAUAGUUCUUAUUUUCAUUGAAUCUAAUCAUCCCCUCGAAGUUUAUAUCUAUACUCCAUUUAUCAUCUUGCUAAUCCAAUUAGAAGGAUGAAUACUUGGUGAAGUAGGAUUCAGAAGGCACCUCUAAAGGAACUAUCUUUCUUUUCAGAUUCACCUAUCUUUAAUUUAGAAAUUUCACCUAUUCUCCUUACCUUUCACUGUCAUAUUCCAUGAUUAUAUCAGUUAUAACAUAAAUUAUAAAUUCUUAAUUAUAAAAAUAAAAAUAAAGGAUGAGCUAGUGCGCCCACCUAGCGGCAGUAGCCACGUCUCCUUUUAUUCGCGCAAUUUCUACUGCAUCGUCGAGGGAAGGGAUAAGGUCCCGAACACCGUGGCCAGCAUCCUCUCCUCUCCCUUUUCCCCUCGCUCACUUCCUCCUCCCUCACCGGCAGAACCCUAGCCGCCUUCUCCUGCAGCACCUCAGCCGCCUCCUCUCCCUCCCGCCUCCUCUCCCUCUCCACCCAGCCGCCCCCUCCCUGACAGCCUCCACCUUCUCCCUCUCGCCCAGAGUAGGGCGGCCGGCGCGCCCCGCCCGAGCACCUCCCCGGGAAGCAGCCUGCCGUGAAGCAGCAGGUUCUCGUGGUGCGGUGGUGUUGCUGGGAAGGAGGAGGAGGUCAACCGCGUCCCUGGGGUGCCGGUGGAGCUGCUCCUCCGCGAGAUCCGGCCGCGGAGAGAGCCAUGGUGACCCAGCCCUUCUCCUCCCACCAAGCUCGCAUUGGUGCUCUUGUUGACUUCUUCCUCCUCCUCGGUGCUCAACAGGUUAGGCGAGGCUGCUGGUGGGGCGAAGAAGCAGGGGAGGCAGGCAACAAGGACGAGAAGCAGCGGGUUGUCGUGGUGCGGUGGUGCUGCUGGGAAGAAGGAGGAGGUCAGCCGCGUCCCUGGUCUGCCGGUGGAGCUGCUUCUCCGCGAGAUUUGGCCACGGAAAGAGCCAUGGUGACCCAGCUCUUCUCCUCCCGCGUCUCUUUCUUUAUCACCAAGCUCGCAUUGUUGCUCUCUUGUUGACUUCUUCCUCCUCCUUCGUGCUCAACAUGUGAAGCACAACCAGCUGGUGCAGAACAUCCGCCCAACCUCGCCGCAUUUGGGCCUCUCAAGCAGGUGCACACACUCUUGUCAUCUUCCUAAUUUCCCUCCUCCUUCCAGUGUAUUUGUUUGUGCACAUUUUGUUUCUAUACGCCUACAAGGUGUUCGAUGAAAGUCUUAGUAGGCUGGAGGGAAGGAGUGCUGUAUGCAACCAUGUGAUUUCAUUCUUCCAAAAAUCGCCUAACGGUGUUUGAUGAAUGUCUUAGAAGUCUGGAGGACAGGAGUGAUCUAUGUAUGUGAUUUGCCGAAAAAGGCUUUCGCCCCGCUUUAUAUAUAAAGCACCGUUCAACAUCACCCAGUACAAACUCACGCCCACACAACACACGCACACACACACCCAAGGCAAGAUACAUAGGCGCUGAGCGCGGCAACACCAUCCCUAACACUACAUGAAGAGGUGAAACCACAUAUGAUGAACCGUGGUCUCCAAGGCGGCGCCUUCAUGAAGGUGACGACACCAGAGCGCCGCCGCCGCCUGAUCCGAGGAUCAGAGUUUCCCUCGGAGCAACAAGAAGGGCAAUGAGAGCCGAGACGACACCUUCAAGAAGGGAACGAGUCCGCCGCCGGCGGUCCAUCCAAAGAAAGAGCAGGUUUUCACCCCGGCCACCAUUCACCGCCACCGAACGCCACACCCCGGUUACCACGCCGCCCACACGGCCAUGGCAACUGGGCAACACCAAGCCACUGGCUCUGCCCAAGAGCUCCGCGGAGCCACCAUCAGGGCCGCCACCCCGACAUCCAAGACCUUGACACCUCCUCACACGAGAUCAGCCGCUACCCCGACCAAAGACACGAGCGGAAAGGACCUGCUUUCGUACCCACGGGCUGCCCCGAGUGCCGAGACCCAAUAGGCUAGCCGAGGCUGGCCUCCAUCACCCCGUCCUCGGCACCGGGCGCGAGACGAGCUCGGUUCUGCUGCCUGGCGCGAGACGAGCAUGGUCCUGCUGCCGGGCGCUAGACUGGCUCGGUCCUGCUGCCGGGCGCGAGACAAGGUCAGUCCUGCUGCCGAGCGCAAGACAAGCUCGGUCCUGCUGCCGGGUGCGAGACGAGUAAUGGACCGUCACUGGGGGAGGGUCAACCAUCGAUGAAGAUAGCGGACGGACGCCCGAAGAGAAGGGUUGAAGGUCCACACAGGCCGCACACCGACGGGCCGACGCCGGAUAAGUCCAGCCGCUGCCGUGAACGACCCGCACCACCGCCAUGAGCCACCACCGCGAGGAGGAGACAAUCAUGGCAGACCACCACCGCGCCGCCGCCACCACCUACCAGUGCAGGGCGGCCACCCAUGGCCCAAGCCGCCCACGGCCCGUGCCGUCACACGGCGGAGCAAGCAAGCCAGCUGACCCCCGCCCGCCUGGACGCGCACCAACCGCCGCCACGCCUCCAUGGCCCUACUGGCCACAGCCCUCGUCGCCGGACGGGCCGCCAGCGCCAGAUUCGGCCGGAUUAGACUGGACUGCCCCGCACGAACCGCCCGAAGGACGAAACUACGCCUUCACCGCACAGCCGCCGCGGCACCGACGAGCGCCCAUGCCACCAGCGUCGCGACCCGCAGCCCCGCCGCCGCGCCCCUGCUGGAUCCGCAGCACCCCGCGCCGCUGGAGACAGACGGGGAGGAGAGAGCCCCCGCCGCCACCUAGGCCAACCAGGCUUCCCCCGACGGCCCGCACGGGUGGCGGCGAGGAGGGCGGAGAAGGGCGGAGUCGAGGGGGGGCGGGGAAGAUGAGGCCCGCCCGGCCGCCGCGAGGUGGCGGCGCGGACGAGCGGGAGGGCGGAGUCACGAGACCUAACCUACGGUCGUAUCCAUCAUGUAUGUGAUUUCAUUGUUAAAAAAAAUCAGUUCCAGUCAAUUAUAACAGGAUGAUUUUGAGAUUAAUAAGAAUCCAUGAGGUAAAUAAAAAUGUAAAGAACAAAAGAACUAUCCGAUCAAAACAUAGCAAGAAUCCGUGUGGUAGAUAUUUGCUUCUAUCUUGUGGGGUUCUCGACCCAUAAACUAGCAUUUGGUAGCUUGAUUUCCUUCCCUGCACGAUAGGACUGUAGGAGACAUGAAACUCGUUAGCCUAUGAUGUGACGUGGCUGCCGUUGGAAAUUUAUUCUGUCUAUCGCGAGGAUACUAUAUUAAGCAUGAAAUUAAUCAUUUAGAGUAUUGUUCAUGUUUUGCUGUUUCUUUCUUCUGGUGGCACCCUCUUGGAACUGUUAUGCAUCCGCCCAUGAUAAAAAAUCUGGUCCAAAUUAUGUGGUGUACAGUUUCUCAAAAACUUGUUUGAAUUUAUCUAAUGUGGGUAGCAACAAUCUUGAUAUGAUGCUUCAAAAUAAAUUAGUUCGAGUUAUCUAUUUUAUGUUCUAUGAUUUGUAGACAAAAAUACAGAUGCUCGGUGCUAUAUAUAAUCAUGUGGUAUAAAUAAGAUAAUUAAGCUAUAUAAUUUUGUGCUUCAACCUCCUUUCAGUUUCAGAUGGCCAACCAUUAACUGUUAGAGAUGAGAAGUACCUAAUGUAAGACCAGAGGUGGGGUUCUGAUGGUUUUGCUGGAUGGCUGCAGCUAAUCGAGUGGUGUGAGACCCCUCUUGCGUCCCCAAGACAUUGGUCCAUGCUUCUUUUUUUGGAUGCGUGCCUCUAACAAGCAGAAUUCUUGUUUUUGCAGCUACGCACAUCAAGAUUUUACACGAAUGAAUGGAACUUCAAGACCCUGUUGAACAUGCACUCAAUUUAGUCACAAAGAAAAAUAAGAACAAUUGUGUUGGGCAACCUCGCCCACAGGAGGAAAAGCUCACAGUUUGGAUGAGGAUCUGUAGUCCAAAGGUUGGCCAGGUCCUGAUGGAUUGAUAAGGUUCUAUGAUAUCGUGCUUUGUCCCAUCUCUGUUCUAUUCAUCAAGCUUUGCUCAUUUCAAAAGGAGAAUCCCUGCAGGGCAGCCACACAUGACCCCACUCCUCAGUUUAUUCUUUCAUGGCACAUCAGCUCUUUCACCCACUUGACCCAGCGAUAAAACAAAGGGUUCAGUUCACCCAGUCAUGCCCAAAGUAGCCUCACUCCGUUGUAUUCCCUUGCAGGACUUGAUCCGCUGUCACUCUCUGACUAAUUAUCAUUCAAGAUGGAGGUUUUACUUUCCAGCUUCACCAAUUUGUUAGAUUUGGUAACUGAGGUCACGAGUGCAAAAGUAAUACAGGCAUGCCAAACAAAUCUGAGCCAUUCAUGUCAACCUGCUCCUCAUUCAUUUCAUUCAAAAAAUUAAAUCAGAAAAAUUGUGGAUGUUAUUGUGGCAUCAAUACGGCUUCAUUCCGACUGGUCCGACGCGGCAGAGGUCAAUCUUCAUCAUGAAUGCCUAUAUGCAUUUAUUAAUAUCUUUUAUUGUUUGUGUUUAGUGAAUAAAAACUGCAAUAGAUUCCCACCUCUUAUUAUGGAUGCACAAGUGCUUCACAAUGUUUCCAUUGCUGAUA